rnacentral:rRNA from 1 species
CUGUUAGCGUGCCUCAGAAACUGGGUAACUUGAGGGCAGGAGAGGGGAGUGGAAUUCCCAGUGUAGCGGUGAAAUGCGUAGAUAUUGGGAGGAACACCAGUGGCGAAGGCGGCUCUCUGGCCUAACCCUGACGCUGAGGCGCGAAAGCGUGGGGAUCAAACAGGAUUAGAUACCCUGGUAGUCCACGCCGUAAACGAUGGGUGCUAGGUGUAGGAGGUAUCGACCCCUUCUGUGCCGUAGCUAACACAAUAAGCACC